rnacentral:rRNA from 1 species
GGAGUCUGGACCGUGUCUCAGUUCCAGUGUGGGGGACCUUCCUCUCAGAACCCCUAUCCAUCGCCGGCCAGGUGGGCCGUUACCCCGCCUGCUGCCUAAUGGAACGCAUCCCCAUCCCUGUCCUUCGCAUUUGGUCGGAAAAGACCAUGCGGCCCCUCCGCGCCAUCGGGGGUUAAGUCCUCAUUUCUAAGGGCUGUCCCCGUGACAGGGGCAGGUUGGAUACGCGUUACUCACCCAUCCGCCGGUCGCC